CUUGAGAAAGAGGAGGAGAAACUCAGAAGAGCUGAGCGGCGCAUAUACAUUCAAUCCUCUCCCUCAUUUUCAAGGGAGUCAAUGAAAAUAUAGUUAGUUUAUUAUCUAAUAGAGAGAGUUGCAUGUGUUUUAGACACUCAACCUACCAAUGAAUCAAACUAUCAUUUAAACUCGCACAACAACAUUGUUUCUGUUUCCGAACUCAACCGCACCACCAACGGUAUUGAAUCUGCAUCUCACGCUGUCAACCUCUCUUCAACGGUAAGUUACUCCGUCUUCAUCGUCAUUAUUGUGUGUAACGAUGCUCAAUGUCUCGAGCUCAAUACGGAAAACAACUGGAUCUGCAGCAAGAUCAGCGUCAUCCAUCGAGGUUCAAGUGGUUUUUUCAAUUUGAUUAUCUCUGUUUACCAUGUUCUAAUUUAUUUUUCAUUUGCUGUUUGUGCGUAUCAUGUCGGCAUUUUUCGUUUCAUUCUUUUAGUGUUUGAUAUGUAUGUCACUGGUUUAAGAGUGUUGUUGUUGUUUUCAACAUGUUAUGAUUCUCGAAUGUACAGGUUUCGGUUUUGCUCAGUUUCAUAUUAAUCUUGAUAGGGGCUUCUGUUGAGCUAAGGUGGUGAUAUUUAUUUGGGUCAAUUCAGAUUGGGUUAGUGUUUGUAUUGAUGUGCGUAUUUCGGUUAUCUAUUGCGGUCUAAUUAUUCCAUGUUUGCACUGGAUUUUGAUGCUAUAAUAAUGAUGGUGUGACACUUAUGCAAUGUUGAGAAUAUAUUCUGUGUUGAUGCUAGUUUGACUUGCAUGUAAAUUACAAUCACUCUCUUGUGUUAACACCAUCUUAAAUUUAUAACAUGCUUAUAUAUUGGUAUGCUUAGACUUUACGUUUGACAGUUUUGUUAUGAAUCUUCAUAUGUCGUCAUUUUUCAUACUAAGAAAAUAGUACACUCACUUUUUCAGCUAGAAACCUCCUUUGAGUUUAAUAUUAGUCAUGGCAUGAGAAAAUGUUAUUGAUAUAAGUUAUUUAGGACUUGUUUGGUUUGAGAUAAUGUUUCUUGUGUUUACCAAUAAUUACAAGUUUCUACAAAAUUAUUACUUCAUUGUUUUCAAAAAUAAUUAAAAGGCUUUCAUUGUUUCAUAUACAAACACCAGUAUUUGAAAUAGGGAGUGCAAUGAAAAUAAGGUGGUUACUUUUGUAAGUGUUAAUGAAAACUAGAAAUGAACAUAAGGAAUUUUAACUGUAAUAAAAUAUGUUGAAGUUAGCCAUGAAUAUUCUAAUAAGUAAACUCACAUGUUAUAGUUAGGGCCAAUUGCAUUAUGUUGUUUUUCUUUUUGACUGAAAAAGUAUUUUAUGAGAAUAUUUUAUGAGAUCUUUCAAUGUGGGAUGUUGGCUACUUAGGACUCGUUGUAGUGUCUUUUCACCUUGAAAAGUAUUGAGUAAAAUUAUUAGGAUGUAAAUAUUUGAUUAUCUACUCAAUUUUGUCCAAUUUUAUAGAAUUAUUUCCAUAUACCAAGAGAAAGGUUCCUAACAUGAGUGCAGCUAACUUAUUUUAAUAGAAUAUAACUUUCUUUAUUUUUAGAUUGGUCCACCUAAAUAAAACCAAAUUUCCAAAAUCAAACAAUUCUCAAUUCAAUGUUGAAUCCGGUUUCAAAUACCUUUGUAAGUCAAUCACUUUAAGCAUCACCAUCAACCUCACAUAGCUUACUCUUGGGCUUUCUUACAAUGAGACCUAUUCGGUUAUUAGAUGAUCGAUUAGGUGAUUAAUUCACUAAAAUAUAAUUUGUUUACAAACACAAAUUCAAAUCUCGAUCCAAUAUCGAGUAUUUUUAUUCAAAUUAAUUUAAAAAUACCUACUCCGAUUAAACACCAUUUUAUUUAGAAAUGAAAAGGGGGAUGGUUUUGAGUUUUCAACUCCUCUCCUCGAUUAUUUGAAUAUGAGUUCUCUUACUCGGUUAGUCAGAUAAUUGUCAUUUCUAAUUCGCCUAAACAAUCAAAUCAAAUCAUUUUAUAAUAAGAAACGAAAAGGGAGAUAACUUCGAGUCUUCAAUUUUUCUCCUCGAUUAUUUGGAUACAAGUUCUCUUAUUUGGUUAGUUAAAUAAUCGUUGUUCUUCCGCAAACUUAUAAACCCGAUAAAAUCAAAUUAUUUUCAUAAUAAGCUAAAUGAAAAGGGAGAUGACUUUGAGUUUUCAACUUCUCUCCUCAAUUGUUUGAAUAUGAGUUCUCUUACUCGGUCAGUCGAACAAUUGUCAUUUUUCCACAAAUUAAUAAAUCAAUCAAAGCUAUACGAAAAGGGAGAUGGUCUUGAGUUUUCAAUUCCUCUUCUCAAAUGCUUGGAUGUGAGUCAUUUUACUCAUUCGUUCAAGUACUUUUCGUUUAUUCUAAAAACGUUAACCAUACAUAAAUCUUAUUUUCAUAAAUAUUCAGAUGAAACAGAAAGCGGUUUAGAGUCUUCUAUUCCCUUUCUCGAUUAUUAGGAUACGAGUUGCCUUACUCGAUUAUCCGAGUAUUCGUCAUCCUUUCAAAAUACUUUAACUACUAUCAAAUCUUUUUAUAAUUAAGGAUGAAAAAGAAAGUGGUUUAGAGUCUUCUACUCCCUUUCCCGACUGUUAGGAUACGAGUUGUCUUACUCGACUAUCCGAGUAAUCGUCAUCCAACCAAAAACAUCUCAACAUAACCAGUCAAACAAAAUAUCCAACAUAUUAAUCCAACUUGUCACCCUCGUGUGAUCAAAACUCUUUUCAUAAAGAACACUGUUUAAUCCUUUCUAAUGCGCACAACAAACUAGUGCUUAAGCCUCCGUCAAGAGUAGACAAGCCAACGUUUAGCCUUUAAGAUGCGAUCUAAACAGUUGUUCACUAAAAGACACCAACCAACCGUAGUUCCCCGAACUACGAAUGCUCUGACUUCCUUAUUGCACCAUAAGGAUACGUAGGCAGGAGAUUGUUGUAUCUUCGCGAGCACACGAAUAAAAAACCUCCCCUUUUCCCUUUCUGAGGUUCUCAUCCAUUUCUAUUUUCAAUAUUUUAUAACCCAAAGAUAAUAAACAAACAUAAAUUAACACUCGAAACACACAUUAGAACUAAAAGGUUCCCGUUGAGUACAACGGACGUAAGGGGUGCUAAUACCUUCCCCUUACGUAAUCCACUCCCGAACCCGAAUAUGGUUGCGAUGACCAUUAUUAUAUUUCCUAAAGGUUUUAUCGAUAUUUUCCUAUCCCUUCAUUGGGAUAAAUAAAGUUCGGUGGCGACUCUGUUCGAACAUAAAUUUUUCCGCGACCAUCGCGAGGAACCGUAUUUUUCGAGAUGCGACAAUCACCCCUGUAACCUUGGAUCUUCCUCCAUGUUUCUAUUUAAUGAGAAAUUAGAGCUUGAAAAUCAAGGUGCAGAAACUGAAAUGGCACGAUUCAUGAAAUUAAGACCACCAAUGGCCUGCCUCUUGCUCGAGGACUUCAGAAAACAGUUCAAACUCAAGCAAUUCACAUUGUAUUUCAAGAUCCAGAUCAAACAAGUUUAGUGAUAUACCUCUGAAAUGCAACUUUGAACAGCACGAUUUGCUCAAGUUAUUGAUCCAAUUUUGAUUUGGAGAUGUAAUGAGGAUGCAAGGCUAAGGAAUUAAGACUUGAAGAUCAACUAAUGAUGUUGAAAUUCAAGCUUGAAUUUGAAAAAUGAAAACUGAAAUUCCUUCAAGUGAGGUUGGGUUUUCACUUCAGCAGCUGAUCAGUCACCAUUUAUGCUAGACAUUCCACUAUUUAACCGUAAAUAAGUCAGGUAAAAAACUAGUUUGGAAGCUCAGGGAAUCAAACGUCAGAUGCGAAAUUGAGCCUGAGCAAGAAAACGGAAGAAAAAAAUCAAUUUUUGGAGAACCUGCUGUCCAUACGCGUAUGGCCUUACAUGAUACGCGUAUGGACCUGCCCAGUACGCGUAGCAUACGCAUAUGACCAGAGGGAUGGAAAAUCAAGCAAAAUAGCAAGCUUCUGGUGAUACGCGUAUGGGACUGGGCAGUACGCGUACCAGACUGGGCAAUACGCGUACCAGCCUGGGCAAUACGCGUAUCAGAGGCUGUCUUACGUGCAGUACGCGUAUGGGACAGCUCAGUACGCGUAUGGAGCACAAAAUCAGGAAAAGUCCAACUGAAUAGCUAUUAAGAGGGCAAAACACGAUUUUCCGGGGGUUGGACGAAUUGGAGAGAAAAGAGACGCGUUUUGAGAGCUGGAGACUCUACGAUUAUCAAAGGAUUCAUAUGUUCAAGAGUUUUCCGACGAUUGAAGAUUGAUUCCUCACGAAAUUCUGUAAUGACAACAAUGUUAAUCUUUGUUUUUAUUUCGAUUAUGAGUAGCUAAACCCCCCAUUGCUAGGGGGGUGACCCUGAUUCUGAAUGUGACAGAUUUGAUGUUUAUGAAUGCAUUGAUUAUUUCUUCUUUUCCA